AUCACUUCUCUGCCUUUUAGAUAAGAUCAAGUGUAGUAUCUGUUCUUAUCAGUUUAAUGUCUGAUACAUCCCCUAUCUGGGGACCAUAUAUUAUACGGAUUUUUCGAGAAUGGGGGCCGAUUUCGAAGUUUGCUUCCAUUGUCCAAUGCAUUGACCCAACAUGGCAGUAUCUUCGGGUAUUGUGCACACAAA